rnacentral:rRNA from 1 species
UACGUAGGGUGCGAGCGUUAAUCGGAAUUACUGGGCGUAAAGCGUGCGCAGGCGGUUGUGCAAGACCGAUGUGAAAUCCCCGGGCUUAACCUGGGAAUGGCAUUGGUGACUGCACGGCUAGAGUGUGUCAGAGGGGGGUAGAAUUCCACGUGUAGCAGUGAAAUGCGUAGAGAUGUGGAGGAACACCGAUGGCGAAGGCGGCUACCUGGCCCACUCUUGACGCUGAGGCGCGAAAGCUAGGGGAGCAAACGGG